CAGGCUUAACACAUGCAAGUCGAGGGGCAUCAGGAAGAAAGCUUGCUUUCUUUGCUGGCGACCGGCGCACGGGUGAGUAACACGUAUCCAACCUGCCCUUUACUCGGGGAUAGCCUUUCGAAAGAAAGAUUAAUACCCGAUAGUAUAAUCAUUCCACAUGGUCUGAUUAUUAAAGGAUUCCGGUAAAGGAUGGGGAUGCGUUCCAUUAGGUUGUUGGUGAGGUAACGGCUCACCAAGCCUUCGAUGGAUAGGGGUUCUGAGAGGAAGGUCCCCCACAUUGGAACUGAGACACGGUCCAAACUCCUACGGGAGGCAGCAGUGAGGAAUAUUGGUCAAUGGGCGCGAGCCUGAACCAGCCAAGUAGCGUGAAGGAUGACUGCCCUAUGGGUUGUAAACUUUCUUUUAUAUUAGAAUAAAGUGCAGUAUGUAUACUGUUUUGUAUGUAUAAUAUGAAUAAGGAUCGGCUAACUCCGUGCCAGCAGCCGCGGUAAUACGGAGGAUCCGAGCGUUAUCCGGAUUUAUUGGGUUUAAAGGGAGCGUAGGUGGACUGGUAAGUCAGUUGUGAAAGUUUGCGGCUCAGCCGUAAAAUUGCAGUUGAUACUGUCAGUCUUGAGUACAGUAGAGGUGGGCGGAAUUCGUGGUGUAGCGGUGAAAUGCUUAGAUAUCACGAAGAACUCCGAUUGCGAAGGCAGCUCACUGGACUGCAACUGACACUGAUGCUCGAAAGUGUGGGUAUCAAACAGGAUUAGAUACCCUGGUAGUCCACACAGUAAACGAUGAAUACUCGCUGUUUGCGAUAUACAGUAAGCGGCCAAGUGAAAGCAUUAAGUAUUCCACCUGGGGAGUACGCCGGCAACGGUGAAACUCAAAGGAAUUGACGGGGGCCCGCACAAGCGGAGGAACAUGUGGUUUAAUUCGAUGAUACGCGAGGAACCUUACCCGGGCUUAAAUUGCAGUGGAAUGAUGUGGAAACAUGUCAGCGAGCAAUCACCACUGUGAAGGUGCUGCAUGGUUGUCGUCAGCUCGUGCCGUGAGGUGUCGGCUUAAGUGCCAUAACGAGCGCAACCCUUAUCUUUAGUUACUAACAGGUUAUGCUGAGGACUCUAGAGAGACUGCCGUCGUAAGAUGUGAGGAAGGUGGGGAUGACGUCAAAUCAGCACGGCCCUUACGUCCGGGGCUACACACGUGUUACAAUGGGGGGUACAGAAGGCAGCUACCUGGUGACAGGAUGCUAAUCCCAAAAGCCUCUCUCAGUUCGGAUCGAAGUCUGCAACCCGACUUCGUGAAGCUGGAUUCGCUAGUAAUCGCGCAUCAGCCACGGCGCGGUGAAUACGUUCCCGGGCCUUGUACACACCGCCCGCCAAGCCAUGGGAGCCGGGGGUACUUGAAGUACGUAACCGCAAGGAGCGUCCUAGGGUAAAACUGGUGACUGGGGCUAAGUCGU
rnacentral:rRNA from 1 species